rnacentral:rRNA from 1 species
GACGAACGCUGGCGGCGUGCUUAACACAUGCAAGUCGAGCGGUAAGGCCCUUUUGGGGGUACACGAGCGGCGAACGGGUGAGUAACACGUGGGUGACCUGCCCUCAGCUCUGGGAUAAGCCUGGGAAACUGGGUCUAAUACUGGAUAUGACCUUUCCUCGCAUGGGGUUGGGUGGAAAGUUUUUCGGCUGGGGAUGGGCCCGCGGCCUAUCAGCUUGUUGGUGGGGUGAUGGCCUACCAAGGCGACGACGGGUAGCCGGCCUGAGAGGGCGACCGGCCACACUGGGACUGAGACACGGCCCAGACUCCUACGGGAGGCAGCAGUGGGAAUAUUGCGCAAUGGGCGGAAGCCUGACGCAGCGACGCCGCGUGGGGAUGACGGUCUUC